UUGUAGUUCAUCGGCAGUUCUACAGUGUUUGCGCCCGAACCAGAGUUGGUGCCACGGUACCUGUGAGACGAAGGAGCGUUUGCUGCCUACGUCUUGAAAGUUUAAGGCUAUGCGGAUUCUGGAGGCAUCCCGCAGGAACCUGCAGCACUGCUGCAAGCUGGAGAGCACCACUAUAAAGCACCUGAUCUGCGUGUUUUCCCAAAGGCUUGCAGCAAGGGGUAUAUCAAGAACACG